rnacentral:rRNA from 1 species
AGGAAAGUUGAAAAGAACUUUGAAGAGAGAGUUCAAGAGUACGUGAAACGUUCAGGNGUAAACUGAGAAACCAAAAGAUCGAAUGGGGAGAUUCAUCGUCAGCGGAGUCGGCUUCCGUGUGGCUUGCGAUGUCCGGGACUUCGGUCCCGCGGCACGCAGUCGCUGCGGCAUGUCUGGCCUCGUCGGCGUGCACUUCUCCCCUAGUAGGACGUCGCGACCCGUUGGGUGUCGGCCUACGGCCCGGUUGGUCGCCUGCCGCGUAAGCGUUCGCGCGUUUCACGCGGCAGACCAUCGGUCGCCCGGCCGGCUGCCCGGCGGUAUAGAACGCAUAAUCCAUGGUAUUGGGCCGCACACUCGUGUGCGUCCUGGCUCGUCGGCAGGCUCGCCUCGCUCGGAUUUACGGACCUAGCGCCGUUGCCGGGUGCUUGGCGCGGCCGUUAGUCGACGAUGUCCUCGGACCGGCUCUCAAACACAUACCAGUCGGCGACGCUACUGCUUUGGGUACUUUCAGGACCCGUCUUGAAACACGGACCAAGGAGUCUAACAUGUGCGCGAGUCAUUGGGAUUUUUUUAAACCUAAAGGCGCAAUGAAAGUGAAGGUCGUUCCUUAGCGUCGACCGAGGGAGGAUGGCUCGCGUCACGAUGCAGAGCCCGCACUCCCGGGGCGUCUCGUGCUCAUUGCACCAGACGCACCCAGAGCGUACACUUUGGGAACCGAAAGAUGGUGAACUAUGCCUGGUCAGGACGAAGUCAGGGGAAACCCUGAUGGAGGUCCGUAGCGAUUCUGACGUGCAAAUCGAUCGUCGGAACUGGGUAUAGGGGCGAAAGACUAAUCGAACCAUCUAGUAGCUGGUUCCCUCCGAAG